UACGAAGGGGGCUAGCGUUGUUCGGAUUUACUGGGCGUAAAGCGCACGUAGGCGGAUCGUUAAGUCGGGGGUGAAAUCCUGGAGCUCAACUCCAGAACUGCCUUCGAUACUGGCGAUCUCGAGUCCGGAAGAGGUGAGUGGAACUCCUAGUGUAGAGGUGGAAUUCGUAGAUAUUAGGAAGAACACCAGUGGCGAAGGCGGCUCACUGGUCCGGUACUGACGCUGAGGUGCGAAAGCGUGGGGAGCAACAGG
rnacentral:rRNA from 1 species